UACUUACUGUAUGUGCUUUGCCUUGCAUGAUACCCUGUAAGCCUCAGCAGCAAAUCCACUACAGGGCAAUAUUCACUGGCUUUUAAAAGGAGUCAGAUUAAUGGCAAAGCUCUGUGAAUAAACCUUUUCUGUUGCCUCUUCCGUCUUAUUUAAGAUUGCUGCCAAAGCCAUCUCUCCUGUCCUGACAAUAGUGAUGAGAUAGACUGAAGAAGUAAGAUUUUAAACAGCCUCAGUGAAAACUCUUUAAUAAGUAAGUCAAGCAAUGAAAAAGCAUUAUUCACGCACCAGGAGAAAGUCAGCAAAAAGAAUUCAAGAUCCUGUAGCCUUCAGUUCUAGAAAACAAGGAAAUGAUUAAGUGCCCAAUCAGCAAUAUAAAAGGAGAAUAAAUGAGACACACCAUUCUUGUUCCUGCUUUAAUGAGCUUUUUGUGGUUUAUAUUUUAUUUAGAAGUCCAACCCAUCAGGAAUUAACAUGUGGCCAAAAAGCCUUCUGAUUCACUACAUAGAAUUAGUUUCCUGUUUUCAAGAGUGAUCUUUUAAGUUUUCCAUUUAGGGGCAAAAUAUUGAUUUUGAGGUUGUUUGGGUUUUUCUUGGUUUCUUUGUGGGGUGGGUAGGGUUUUGUGGCUGGAUGGCAUGCCUACAGUACCUACUCUUCUGUUAUCAUUUGCUAUUUGCAUCGUCGUGUCAGUGGUAUAGUAUUGUAGCACUGUAUGAAGCACAAAGCUCUUCAGGGAUACCCAUGGUAACUCACUGGCUGAAAGCAAAAAGGGGUGUAUUUUCUGUCUGGCUUGAGGUGAAUCAGCAUUUUCUAUAUGAAAUCCAGUUUGCCUGCUGUAUCCUGCAAAGCAUUUGAAGGGAUGAUGAAAGACUAAGAACAGAAUCUUGUGUCUAUAUGAUAGCCAUAUUCCAGCUCUUCUCCCUUGAAUCUUUUUCAUGUCGUACUGUGAGAUGCAUCUUGCAAACCUACAAGUGAAGAACAGGAAUAAGAAUUGUCAUUCUGGCCUAGGAGACACUCACUUCUUUUUGAGAGAUCCAAUCAGAUUUUGAUCCAUGUCUUCUGGCAAAGAUAUAUCAGCUUCCUGUUUCUAUGGCACUUCUGAUCUCAUCCUGGAUGAUGUAGAGCAGCUUCUACUUCGUGCUUCUCCAUGACUGAAAUGUAAAAAUUUAUACUGAAAAUCCAUACCUUGUGAUAGCUGCAUGGAAUGCUCUACCGAACUCUCAGCAGGAAAUGCAGAAGUUAACCCAGUAGUAAUCAAAGUAGUGCAAAGCAUUGACUACAGAAGUGGUGGAUUCCUCACCUGUUGUGACCUUCAUUACUGGAUAGUUCUCUUGGAAACACGGCUUUUAUCAAAGAUAAGUUGUUAUUUUCUGUAUGUCUAACAGUUCCUUGUGGCCUUAGUUUAACAACUACAUGAACAGACAUGCUAUCACCUAGUUGGAGGAGCUGAAUGAGAUGCUUUUGACAAUAAAGGAAUGUGUUUUUUUCAAAAUAUAUUUUAAUUUAAAUUGCUAAAAUUAUAGUACUGGAGUUUACAUGAACUGAAAACUCAGUUUGAGGAAUGGCUUUUUCUAAUCUUUCUAUGUCUUUUGAACUUCAAUAAUUCUGAGACGUUCCUAUGCCAUUUAAUAAACAAGUGACUUAGAAAAGAACAAGAAUAUUCUCAGAAGCAUGUGAAUAACCUAGUUUGUAUUUGUGCAAGCCAUUAGAAAACCUGUUGCUUUAAAAAAACAAACCUAAAAAAAGCAGGAGAUUGCUGUCUUUCAUGUGAUACUAAAAUGUAUGGUUUCCUGUCUGGGGAAAAAAAAAAAAAGUGAUGUCUCAAAAACGUUAUAUCCUGAGUGCUACAGUCACUGAUACAUUGGUUGUUAGGCUAGUGUUGCAUGCUGAGCACCAGGACAGCAGCCCCAUACUAGGGGGUCACACAGGAGUACAGGGGUAGUUUUGGGGCUCUUCUGAUAUUUUCCUUUCCUGCUGCUGCCAUUAUAACAUGCAGUACUGUACAUGAUCAGGGAAAGAGGCUAUUGCUGGGACACAUCAUUGUUAUGAUGAUGCAUUUUAGGCCUUUUUGUACCCCUUUUUAUCCUCAGGUUUCUGAGAGGUUCCAUCUCGAAAGAGAAAGUGCAGCAAGAUCAAGUACAUUCAGUGCGGAUGCUUACUAGUCCAUUCUGUACCAAUCUCCAAACCAGGAAUGCAAUUACAUAUGAUGGACUGAACUCAGUUUCCCACUAUACAGAGGUUUAGGCGACGCUGUGGUGCUGACGGACUCCUUCCACACUAUUUUGAAGUAUAAAGAAAACAAAAAAUUGAGCAUGAAAAGGAGCUAGGCAUGUAUGUUGGAACUCCAUUUACUCCAGGAAGUGUUAGAGGAGUUAAAACAUGAUGUUUUCUCACUCCUAGAAAAGAUGAAGGAAAGACAAGAAAAGGCCUCAUAUGAACCUUGUGCAAAGAUUUAUUAUUAUCGGCCAGGCUUAUCUGAAAUGAACUUUCCUGUUCUUCUGCCAAGCCCAAAUUUAUCCCAUGGCUGCCCUUUUCUAGCCUUGAUGUUAUUUAUGCAUGGCAUUAUAUAUAAACAACGAAGUCCAAUGCCCUCUACAGUCACAGUAAAACUUUUGUAGAUAUGGAAAACAAAGGAUACUACAAAACCAUGUCUCCAGCCUUGCAAUGGGUGCUGAUGUAACAGUGUGUAUCCUAUAGUAUUGUACAGAAAUUCUGCAAAUAUCAUGGUCUUCUGAAGGUUUUCUGUGAGGUAGCUUUAGGUGAAGAUUUGCCAUUUUCAUAUAAAGCUAGAAUCUAAAGAUAAACUGCUCUACCAAAUUCUGUAAGAACAUUAAAUAGAUAAUUUUGGGCAGCGAGGUGUCCUGCAGAAGCUCAGCCACACCACACACUCGUUUGUUUUUGCUUUGGAAGUUUCCAGACUUUAAGUGCUGUGGAUUCAAGUUUGUUCUUCUGAGAAAAUAUUCACAAGAAAUGAAAGUACUUUAUCUAGCUAUCUUAUCUAAUCUUCUGUUGACUUGGGGUCUUUUUAAGUUUUAAAAAGGAUCUGAUUAAGUACAGUGGUAAGAAAUACACAGUCUUCACCAAAACCAUUCCAAAAUAGGUUCAGCCUUCUGGAAAUGCAAGAAGAGGUCCCCUAUGGUUGACCAUAGUGGAUACCAUUUCUUUAGUGAUGGAAGCUUUAGGGAAGAAGUUACUGCUCAUAUUGUUUCUGCUCACAGUUGUUGAUGACAGCUCAGUCUGCUGCUUUUUUUGGCCUAGACAACAGCUCAGUUGAGGGCUACAGAUGCCUGGGGCUCUGGUUUGGUAGACACAAUGCUGAUAAAUAGAACAAAGACUACUGCUCUUUUAAAGACCUUAUUCCGCAGAGGUGAGAAACCACCUUCAGCCUCAUGAAGCCAGUCUCCUUACCCACCGUCCACGGUCUGGUUAAGGCCAAUUUAGGGCCCCAGAAGUGACUGUAAUUUAGAUGUUUUGACUUGGUUUCUGUAGAAGUCUACCUCUUUCUGUUGGCUGUGGAAGGAGUUUCCUCUGGAGCUAAAAUUAACCUCAGAGAACAUCGUUGUACAUACCCAGUCUGGUGGAGAAAACUCUCAGUUUGCAGAAAUAUAUAAGGAUAUAAGAAGUGCUCCAGAUGGAAGCUGUCAUCUGAUGCCCCAGGCAUACCACAGCAUGGGAACUCCCCACAGCUCCCCACUCCUGAACUGUAUAGUCAUCAUAGCACAGAACAGCCUUUUUUUUGUCUCAGAAAUGGAGGCAGUAUGAGGUCCUUUCUGUCUCAAGGAGCGUGACUACACAGGAGGAAUGUGAACUGCCAUCCUGCAGCUUUCAAGUGUUGAACUCAUCAUGACUUUGAAGCAGAAGACUAUGAGUUUGUGAUUUCUUAAAAACAAAAAUUCAAAAAGCUGUUGAAUAACCUCAGAUUUUUUGUAUUGGGUUGUAACUCCUACAGAAGUGGGUGGGUUUCUGGAAGUUAGGAUGUUUAGCACGGGAUUCAUGUUAAUCAAUUUUGGAUCCUCAUGAUGAAGAUGUCUGCAAGGUGAGCUACAUCAUCGCUCAUGAAAUCUGUUAAUUGAAAGAGGUGUUUUUAUUCGUGGACCAGGUGAUGUGUGACAAAAGUCCUUUGGUUGUGCUGAGAAACGAAGCAUGUAAGUGACCAGGUGCAUCACUUUGUACAGUCCCUGUAUCCUAGUUAUCAGAGGAAACCCCAGUUCGGUGGUCAGUUGCCCAUCCUCCCUCCCUUGGCAGCAUUUGAACCCAUAUACUCAGCUCUGGGUGCUUGGACUGGGCCACCUGGCCUUGAAGCAGGACUGUGCUACACACCUAGAGUGGGAGGCUUCACAAAUGUGUGCAUUUGUAAAAGAGAAAACAGCAGCAGAAUGAUGCUGGUAUGAACAUUAUGAAGAAACUCUAUUUCUACUUUGACAUAGCAAUCACAGAAGUAUGGUGGCACUUGGAAGUCCUGCCAACACCCCAACCCAGAGGUCUACAGCAGACUAACCUGCUGCCACAAGAAUAUUUUGGUCUGAACACAAAAGGAGGCUGCAGAAAAGGAAGAUAUACACUCAUUUAGCUGGUAGGGAACUGAGGCCAAGAUAAAUCAAUGUCCCCAAAGCUUGGUGACCUGAGUCACCAAAGGUUAGUUCCACUCUCAGCAGUUUACAGGUCUAUUUCAGCUAAUAUUUCUUUCUCUUACUCACAGAUCUGCAUCAGGAUCACAAUUUUAAGAAUACUGAAAGAAAAUUAGGCAAAACUGUAGAAAGUUUUAUUUCUUACUGAUUUAUUUUUAAUAAAAAUAACUUUUCUGGUGCCUUAGCCACUUGGCUUAUUAUGAGGUCUUAUUCUGUUGUCAUAACUGCACUCAUGAAAUUUUUACUAGUAUUUGAACUAAGCCUAGUUACAGUGGUACUUUUACUGCAUCAUAAAUUACUCUUAUAUGGAAUGAACUUAAUUAGAUUAAAUGAGCAAAGGAAGACUCUGUGGUGCCAGAUCAUCUCUCAUGAACUUUUGUGUAUUUGUGCAGUUAAUCUCUUCAUUGGAUUUUUAUAAGGAAUGUUUGCAUAUUUAUCCAGGUUACUUGUUUUCUGCUGUAGUCAUGACCACUCUUUUCUCUGUACAUUUCUAGAGCUCUGUUGAACCCUAUAUAUAUUUCUGUGCUUGGAAAACAUGGAAACAAACAAACCUUAUGGAAAAUAACAAUAUACAGAACAUAUCAUGUGACAAACUCUGUUAAAUUAGUACUUGGGUCAUUGCUAUCUGACAAAACUGCUUCUGUGAAUAGUUGCAUUUUUCAUUCUUCAUUCAUUGGGCAGGGAAAGAAUGACUGAAAAUGCUACUAGCGGGGCUGGAUUCCCUCCAGCGAGUGAGGCCAUUGUUUGCAAAACCUUACUAGGCACAGUGCAUGGUGGCACUCAACCAGAGCAAGGGACUUGUAGGAUUUAUGCAACGAUGUGGAAUUUUCCACUGUCCAAGAGAAGUUCGCAAUCCUACAGCAGCAUAUUUUGGUAGGGGACCAUAAAAAUAACAUCAUGAUGGGUUGAGUAACAUUCCACUAAAGGUUAAUGUAACUACUAGGAAAAACCCUCUGCUAAUUACAGACUUUCCUGUGUUUUAAAGCUGUCAAAAUCACAUUGCUUUCAGAAACACAACUGAAGCUCAGUUAACAUAGUCUGUUAUUUGGGUGUAUGCGACAACUUGACUCAGCUCUAGUGCCCUCUGAAAUAUAUGUAAAGCAAUGGUUUUCCUGCCUCAUGGGUGAAGGAUGAGAGCUUGGCAGGGCCUAAGGUGCUUCUGUUACUGAAAAGAAAGGGAUGGGAGCAAAACAGAGGGCUGAGAAUGGGUGCAAAAUGGAGAGAGCAGAGAUUGCUGCAGCCACUGCUUCUGCUGGCUGGAGGCAGGGGUGGACCACAGCAUUGUCUCCCUAACCUCUUCCCAUCACCCCAUGUACCCCCAGCCCUCUCAGCUUUCCAGAGCUCAGGCUUAGGUAAAACAGGCAUGGGAAGCUUCCCACAGCAGCCUUCAAUAACUGCCUAGUUCAAGUCUUUAAGCACUUAUUAAACACAGUGGAGGGCCUAGUUCAUAAAAAAAGCAUUUAUUCUGCAGUGUAAGACCUAGUCUUGAUGAACUAAGACUUAAAUAAACAGGCUAAGCAGAAAAAAAUGCAUCACAAGCAAAUGCUGUGGCUUACUUCUGAGCAGUUUUCUUGCAGUCCAGACACUGCAAUACAUUAAAAUAAAAGUGC